rnacentral:tRNA from 1 species
GCCUGGGUGGCUCAGUCGGUUGAGCGUCUGACUUCAGCUCAGGUCAUGAUCUCGCGGUCCGUGAGUUCAAGCCCCACGUCAGGCU